GACGAACGCUGGCGGCGUGCCUAAUACAUGCAAGUAGAACGCUGAAGAGAGGAGCUUGCUCUUCUUGGAUGAGUUGCGAACGGGUGAGUAACGCGUAGGUAACCUGCCUUGUAGCGGGGGAUAACUAUUGGAAACGAUAGCUAAUACCGCAUAACAAUGGAUGACACAUGUCAUUUAUUUGAAAGGGGCAAUUGCUCCACUACAAGAUGGACCUGCGUUGUAUUAGCUAGUAGGUGAGGUAACGGCUCACCUAGGCGACGAUACAUAGCCGACCUGAGAGGGUGAUCGGCCACACUGGGACUGAGACACGGCCCAGACUCCUACGGGAGGCAGCAGUAGGGAAUCUUCGGCAAUGGGGGCAACCCUGACCGAGCAACGCCGCGUGAGUGAAGAAGGUUUUCGGAUCGUAAAGCUCUGUUGUAAGUCAAGAACGAGUGUGAGAGUGGAAAGUUCACACUGUGACGGUAGCUUACCAGAAAGGGACGGCUAACUACGUGCCAGCAGCCGCGGUAAUACGUAGGUCCCGAGCGUUGUCCGGAUUUAUUGGGCGUAAAGCGAGCGCAGGCGGUUUGAUAAGUCUGAAGUUAAAGGCUGUGGCUCAACCAUAGUUCGCUUUGGAAACUGUCAAACUUGAGUGCAGAAGGGGAGAGUGGAAUUCCAUGUGUAGCGGUGAAAUGCGUAGAUAUAUGGAGGAACACCGGUGGCGAAAGCGGCUCUCUGGUCUGUAACUGACGCUGAGGCUCGAAAGCGUGGGGGGCGAACAGGAUUAGAUACCCUGGUAGUCCACGCCGUAAACGAUGAGUGCUUGGUGUUGGAUCCUUUCCGGGAUUCAGUGCCGCAGCUAACGCAUUAAGCACUCCGCCUGGGGAGUACGACCGCAAGGUUGAAACUCAAAGGAAUUGACGGGGGCCCGCACAAGCGGUGGAGCAUGUGGUUUAAUUCGAAGCAACGCGAAGAACCUUACCAGGUCUUGACAUCCCGAUGCUAUUUCUAGAGAUAGAAAGUUACUUCGGUACAUCGGUGACAGGUGGUGCAUGGUUGUCGUCAGCUCGUGUCGCGAGAUGUUGGGUUAAGUCCCGCAACGAGCGCAACCCCUAUUGUUAGUUGCCAUCAUUCAGUUGGGCACUCUAGCGAGACUGCCGGUAAUAAACCGGAGGAAGGUGGGGAUGACGUCAAAUCAUCAUGCCCCUUAUGACCUGGGCUACACACGUGCUACAAUGGUUGGUACAACGAGUUGCGAGUCGGUGACGGCAAGCUAAUCUCUUAAAGCCAAUCUCAGUUCGGAUUGUAGGCUGCAACUCGCCUACAUGAAGUCGGAAUCGCUAGUAAUCGCGGAUCAGCACGCCGCGGUGAAUACGUUCCCGGGCCU
rnacentral:rRNA from 1 species